AAAAAAAACGUCGCACUCUUCUAUCGUUCAGUCGACGGAACCCUAAUUUUGUCGCCGUUCUCUACUUAUCUCGUCUCUUUCGGCCGAAACUCCUUCGGUGGUGUCGAAUUUCAAAUCAUCAAAAAUCAAAACUCAAAUCAAAGAGAUCUAUGGUAUUUUAUAUGAUUCGUUACAGGUUUGAGUUGAAUCAGGAAUAACUACUCUUUUACUUUGAUUUUAUAUGUUUCUCGUUUAGUUUUCCUCUCAAUCGAUCUAUAUAUUUAGAGA
rnacentral:sRNA from 1 species